AGAGCGAACGCUGGCGGCAGGCCUAAUACAUGCAAGUCGAACGAAGCCUUCGGGCUUAGUGGCGGACGGGUGAGUAACACGUGGGAACGUACCCUUUGGUUCGGAACAACUCAGGGAAACUUGAGCUAAUACCGAAUGUGCCCCCAUCCUUAAAAAAGAUGGGUGGGAAAGAUUUAUCGCCAUUGGAGCGGCCCGCGUCUGAUUAGCUAGUUGGUGAGGUAAAGGCCCACCAAGGCUACGAUCAGUAGCUGGUCUGAGAGGAUGAUCAGCCACACUGGGACUGAGACACGGCCCAGACUCCUACGGGAGGCAGCAGUAGGGAAUCUUGCGCAAUGGGCGAAAGCCUGACGCAGCCAUGCCGCGUGAAUGAUGAAGGUCUUAGGAUUGUAAAAUUCUUUCAGCGGGACGAUAAUGACGGUACCCGCAGAAGAACGCCCGGCUAACUUCGUGCCAGCAGCCGC
rnacentral:rRNA from 1 species